AUUGUCAUCGUAUAAAUUUUUUUUCCGCGUAAUAUUUGUUUGUUUGCCGCAUAGAAGGGUGAAGGGUGAAUCACAUUUCCUACCUGCGCUAAGAGUACUUUACAUUCGCUGAUAUUGAAUUGCAUUUGCCAUCUAUCUGUCCAUUUGUUCAUCCCAAGUGUGUCUGCAAGGCGACUGCAUCCGAAUCAGACCUAAAUAAUCUACCUAUCUUCGUAUCGUUGGUGAUGGUAGUGGCGGUGAUAUGAAUAGUACCAGUAGUAGUAGUAGUAUACGUAGUAGUGUACGUAGUAGUAGCAGUAGUAGUACUAGUAGUAGUAGUUGCUGUUGUUGUUGUUGUAGUAAUAGUAGUAGUAACUGUUCUUGUUGUUGUCGCAGUCGUCGUCGUUGUGCUUGUUGUUGUUGUUGUUGUUGUAACUAUCUUAACAACACCUUGUUAGUCUUCACGUUACACACUUCCCCCUAUCCAUCAUCCUCUUUUUACUUCUUUAAUUUUCACACAACAACGAUCACCCCAACGCCUUGUUUGUUUUUUCUCUACAUCCCAUUCCAACAACACCUUUUUCACCUUAUUUUUAUUGUUCUUGUUCUUGUUCUUCAUUCACUCUUAAUAAACAGUAAUUAUCAUUCCCUACUCUCCCAGAUAUACCCCUUUACUUAUACCCUUCUUUGUUUGUGAGUCACGCCCACUAGAACUCAGAGGAAAGCGAAUAGACCUUCGAAACACCUCCGCUACUCAGAUGAGUUCCGAACGCACAUGAACGAUUAAGGGAAGAACCUGGUUGGCUUCAUUCUCAGUGCCCUCAAGACCCAGUACAGAGACACUUCAGCAGAAGCCAUCGGUCAAGUCUACACGGGAAGGAUCCAUUCAACCCUUGCUAGCAUACGUGACCGUCUCCACCUCCGUGUCGCCGCGAGAAGGCAGGUGCUUCCACUUUCCACCCUCGCCACCCACGCCAUAUAAGCAUGAGGCUGGGAAAACGCCUCAGGACUACAUACACUCCCUACAGGGUUAUUCUCCGCUCAAGUUCCGUUUCAAGCUUCUCUUAUACUUCCACAGAAUAGUCCACAAAGCAUGCUGUUGAUGCAGCAGCAACAGGAAGCUCAGGCUGCUUUUCUUGCUGUCCCGGUCAAGUCACGGCAGGACCAGCUCAAUUCACCGAUGGAUCUGCAGCUUCAGCAGCAGCAGAUGAUGGCUGAACUCUUGAGGACUCGACAAGAGGCUACGAAUGAAAGGUCGAGUUCUUACUGAAGCUGCACCAGCUGGGCAUCAAUUGGCUCUCAGGUGAUCUGUUUUACUGAUCACACCCAGCAUCGUAGGAUCGAGAUGAUCUUCACAGUCAGACUUCUGGUCCUAUCCAAUGUUACGUAAGCUUGACAACUCCAUCCUUCAUUCCUUAACAUCAUUUGUCCAACGGCCAACUCACUUCCAGCUAUCCACUUGACACAACCUUUUAUGUAACUAUCCCCUAUUUUUCAGUGAUAUUCAACUAUUCCCCUCCUGUACACUAAACAUAUGUGGAAUGUCCUUUACUAUUCCCCUCCUCUACACUAAACGUAUUUGGAAUGUCCUUUACUAAAACUUCCAACUGAAAAUUUCAUACAUCUUCUCUUGCUAAAAGUUUUGCAUAAAGUUUGGUGAUCUGUGUCAUCUCUGCCAAUAAUUUUCCUCCCAGUUGCUAAAUAUAUAUAGGGGGCUUAUUUUUCCAUGUAUGGGGUACUGCUGACAUGUAUGGGGUGGGUCAAUUCCCACAGCACUCCUAAACAGGGUGAGUAAUUUAUAUGCACAUAAACUAAAUACCAAUAGCAAAAUGACUGUGAUUAUACUUGAAAAAAUAUCCCUGUACUUGGAUUUUACCCAAGUACAUGGAUAUUUUGUCUGUAUUUAGACCCAAUCCUAGUAAAAGUUAUUUCAAAAUUUGAUACGUGCAGAUAAGGAACUCUUCCCCAGGAACCCUAUAAAGGGUGAAUAACAUCACCAUCACAGCCAUGCUGUGCCUUGGUGACGCCGCGCGUGACUACUACUGAUGCAUAACAAAUAAACGGUUUGGUACACUGCCUUGCUACAUCGAUGUACGUACACUUCCCAGCCACACAGCCAGGGUUUAUGGAAACAACCUUAGCUUACUAAUUUCCAAACAAACAUUUUACUUCCUGGCAUAAUAUGACGCUUUUUCAAAACGUGACUUACACGAUCUAGGGACCAGCAGUGAAACAAAUGAACCGAAUGAAACUAAACCCGACCUAACCUAGCCCUCAGUUGAAAACACUAUGCUAUUUCAAUAUUAUCCAUACGGCCCAGUAAUACUUCAGGUAUACUGAUAACUGCUUCGAGGUUAGCAUGUCAGCAAUUUGGCUUUGUUUGGUCUCUGCCAUCGUGCAACGGGAGCAAGACGUUUCGCAGCAAAUGACACUUCGCCUCGCCACUGCGAACUCGCCCAAUGAACCAGCGGGACUGAGGUGAACCGUCCUAGACUACGUACUAUUAAACCAUACCGUAUUUUACUGGUGGAUACAUGUAUAUAUUAUUAUGUUCAUGGAAAAUAAAAUAGCAUUAAAACAUUAAAAACAUUAAAAACAUUAAGAAAAGAAUGAAUAAAAUACAUGUAUUCAUGCCGUCCACACAUUAGAAUGGGCAGUAUAUUCCCGCACAUUUGCGCAAAAGCAUCUUUGCCAGUUCUAUGUCCCUUGUCGAGGUUCUCAUGUAUUCUUCCCACGCAUCAAAUAAUCUACCAUGCAUGCGUUUAUAUUUUUUUCUUUGGUACCUUGACAGUGUGCCUUCACUUAUGUAUUGUGCCUCCACACUGACUGUUGCUGCUUCCUCAGCCAGUAGUUCUGCUAGCAGAUAGAGUGGUAGCUUAGAUUUACCUGCUCUUCUAUUUAAAGCACUGUGCCAGCUCUCGCAGUCAUUAUUAGUUCUAGUUGUGUGGAAGAAUGCUGACCAAGUUUGUGGGGGGAAAGUGGUACUCAAAAUCCACUGUGAGGAAAUGUAUUCUAAUAAGUCUGCCAAGGGAUUGGUAACUGCACCAUCUUUCAGAUAAUUAAACACGGGUAUAAUAUGCUCAGCUGGUAACAUGGGGAGGGCAAACAGCUUUCUUAUGUACGUGUGGGUGGGUGGGUCUUUCUGAUAUGCAACUUGUAGGCCAAGUUGCUGCACUUUCCGCCACACUGCUUGCGACCAGUGAAAGGUACAGCCUCGCAUUCUGAUGUUUGGAAAUUCUUGACGUACUGCCUUCCAUGCAGCUGCCUCAAAAUCCAUUACGAAUUCUUUAACUGACAGCUGUAAAAAAAAGGAUUUUAUGGUCUUAAAUAUACACUGAUAAUCUUCAUAUCUUCGACCACUCAUUAAAAUAAAUAAAAGUGGAACUUGCUUGGUGAGGGUCCCGUUUGUAAUAAAAGCAUGUAUUGAAUAUAAUUGCACAAAUGGUUGUUUUACCAGCUUAAAGGUACCAUCUAGAUACCAGGUUUUGGCAGUCUUUAAAAGUUCUCUCUGACGAUCUGAGGACCACAUUAAAUGUAUUCUGGAAUCCUGCUGCACCUGCCAUGUUUCAAAAAUCUUUGGAAUAUGCUCAGUGUCAAUAUUAAAAUCUUCUAAUGUGGUUGGGUGUUUGGGUCUUGUUUUCUCUCUGAAUCUAUUAAAACAUCUUGCUAAGCUUGCUGUUGCUGGCAGUUGGGGAACUUGGUUUUCUCUUAACAAAUCCUUAGCAAUUUGUACUCCAGAGCUGUAUGGGUUCCUUGUAGAAGAUUCUUUUCCUUCACUUACAACCAUGUUUUUAAGAAGAGCAGAUGGAUUAGCAGCAUGAAGAUGGGGCUGCACUCCAAAGGUGAAACAAUCUUUUGAUUCUGUUACCUGAGCGUGGCAUUUGAUAUGUUUAUUUCGCACCACACACUGCCACUUGACAUUACCAUUUUUGUUGGUUCGCAUUUUAUUGUAAGAAUAUCCGUCUGAUGAAAUAAGUUGGCAAGCCCCUCGCUUGCUCUUGCCCUUGGCGUAGGUUACAGGAACUUCCUGAGACACAGCUGCAACUGGGGCUGUAUCAGAGAGGAUAGACUCAUGGAGGACCUCUCUUUGGUUUAGGUUGGGCAAAUCGUCAUCAGAGGAAUCAUACAGAGAAGAAACAAGUGAUGUAGGCACGGGUGGUGAAGACGGUGAAGCAGCCAGGUCGAGUGGUGAAGACGGUGAAGCAGGUAGGUCGAGUGGUGAAGACGGUGAAGCAGCCAGGUCGAGUGGUGAAGACGGUGAAGCAGCCAGGUCGAGUGGUGAAGACGGUGAAGGCAGUGGUGACAUACAAAAUAUGCACAUCCAGUCUACCUCUCUUCCUUCUCUAAUGGCCUGUCUAUAUUCUGCCUGGCUCACCCCACUUCCACAUGUCCUGUGUUGCCAACGCUUAGUUAGUUAGUUAGUUGUUUAUUGACAAAAGAAUCCUUUUACAAAAUAAACGAAGAACAAAUAAUUGUACAAGUACUUUUGUCCAUGAAAAGUAACAAACAUGCAUUUGAUGUAGAGGUGAUUCUUACAUAUUAUACGUAUGUACUCAGUACUUCAAAAUUAUAGCUACACACUUCCUGUA